UGGGGAAUAUUGCACAAUGGGGGGAACCCUGAUGCAGCCAUGCCGCGUGAAUGAAGAAGGCCUUCGGGUUGUAAAGUUCUUUCGGUGACGAGGAAGGUUGGUAGGUUAAUAGCCUAUCAAAUUGACGUUAAUCACAGAAGAAGCACCGGCUAACUCCGUGCCAGCAGCCGCGGUAAUACGGGGGGUGCGAGCGUUAAUCGGAAUAGCUGGGCGUAAAGGGCACGCAGGCGGUGACUUAAGUGAGAUGUGAAAGCCCCGAGCUUAACUUGGGAAUUGCAUUUCAUACUGGGUCGCUAGAGUACUUUAGGGAGGGGUAGAAUUCCACGUGUAGCGGUGAAAUGCGUAGAGAUGUGGAGGAAUACCGAAGGCGAAGGCAGCCCCUUGGGAAUGUACUGACGCUCAUGUGCGAAAGCGUGGGGAGCAAACAGGAUUAGAUACCCUGGUAGUCCACGCUGUAAACGAUGUCGAUUUGGGGAUUGGGCUUUGAGCUUGGUGCCCGUAGCUAACGUGAUAAAUCGACCGCCUGGGGAGUACGGCCGCAAGGUUA
rnacentral:rRNA from 1 species